rnacentral:lncRNA from 13 species
AUGCGUGGCCACAAGGGUAGAGGUCAUCUAUUACAAACAAGCAUGAUCUUAAGAGUGGGGGUGUUGGUUGCUAGCAGAGGGGAGGGUGAGGUAAAUUACAUAGUAACAGGGGUCCUGAGAAACCCAAUGUACAGGGGGAAAUUCCACAAGGCUGAGCAGGAACAAUGGUUGCAGGUUGCAGGUUGCAGGUUGCAGGUUGCAGGUUGCAGGUUGCAGGUUGCAGGGGGAGAGCAAUUAGUUGAGAGCAACAAGUUGUUUCAAUUGUUUCUGUGGCCACCUGGUUACUUGUGGUUACUUCAGACUUUCUGGCUCCUGGGGACCAUCCAGAGGUGUACGUGCAGGUCACCAAGGCUACAAUGGCCAGGCUUGAACUUGGAGGCCUGACAAAUAUUUUUAGUUUCUGGGUAAUAUUAUAUUCUUUUAAAAAAUGACGGCCGGGUGCAGCGGCUUACACUUGUAAUUCCAGCACCUUGGGAGGCUGAGGCAGGUGGAUCACAAGGUCGAGUUCAAGACCAGCCUGGCCAACAUGGUAAAAUCCCACUGCACUCCAGCCUGGUGGCAGAGUGAGACUCUAUCUCAAAAAAACAAACAAAAAUGCCUUAGAUUCAAAAUUAUCAUAAAAGAGUGAAACUACUAUCAUAACGUAUGUUAUACUGGGAAAUUCUUGAGAGAGAUUUGCUGAAGACUGCCAAUAGAAAAGGACAGGAUCACAGAAAAUGGACUAUUCUCUGCCCUCUCUCAGCAUCCAGGCUUCAAGUUCUAAUGAAGCUUGGGAAAGAGAACAGAGCUAAGAAAUGGACAUGUUCUUUAGGGAAAUGCGUAACUGAACUUAGAGUUGAGGUGGUCUGGAUGACGGGCAAGGGCUAGAAGUAGCAACAAGAAAAACACUCUUCCAAAGACCAUUCAAACUUCUGUUUGUGGAAGUGAGUGUCCUGUGCCGUGAGUUUACAACUUCAGAGCACAGCAAGAUAAGAACACAAAGGCCUUCUUGGAAAUAACUCAGAAACAAAAGCUGGGGAUAUGUGGAAUGUGGUUGGAAUACAAAAGCCUCGUAGUUUUUAGUG